rnacentral:rRNA from 1 species
GGGAUUCUUGAGGAAACUCAAGCUAAUACCGCAUACGCCCUACGGGGUAAAGCAGGGGCUCUUCGGACCUUGCGCUAUCGGAUGAGCUUAUGUCGGAUUAGCUGGUUGGUGAGGUAACGGCUCACCAAGGCGACGAUCCGUAGCUGGUCUGAGAGGAUGAUCAGCCACAUCGGGACUGAGACACGGCCCGAACUCCUACGGGAGGCAGCAGUGGGGAAUAUUGGACAAUGGGGGCAACCCUGAUCCAGCCAUGCCGCGUGUGUGAAGAAGGCCCUCGGGUUGUAAAGCACUUUCAGCGAGGAAGAAUGCUUGUCGGUUAAUACCCGGCAAGGGAGACAUCACUCGCAGAAGAAGCACCGGCUAACUCCGUGCCAGCAGCCGCGGUAAUACGGAGGGUGCGAGCGUUAAUCGGAAUUACUGGGCGUAAAGCGUGCGUAGGCGGCUUGAUAAGCCGGUUGU